UUUGUGUAGGAUAUAGAAAACAACAUUGGAUAUAAUGCUCUUCUAAAUAGGCGUUGUGGUGACUCUAUACUGCUCAAUUUGGGCAGACCAAUUUCUGUACUUGUUGCUUAGUCACCACCCCCUAUGGAAUACAUUUACUUUGAAUGGAAAGGUGGCUGCAGGUUAUAUAAUUCAUGAUAGUGAUGGUCACCUUAUCAAGGCUGCUGGUAAGUCAUUACCUUCCUAUUCCAUUGGCUAUGCAGAAAUUAUUACAGUCUGGA
rnacentral:lncRNA from 1 species